UUGGCGUUAAAAUAGGAUGUGGUGCCCCAAUUUGAAUUGUUUCUAGGUGGCAUGACCUGACCCAAAUACCUACUAAAUUGGGCUAGUUAAUUAGCAAGGGAUGAGACCAAAUUAACCUCUAAAGGAGCAAGGGUUCCACACAUGCUAGCAUGCUUAUCGGAGCCCUAAUUGAAUCCAAAAUUUCAAUCAACCUUUUUCAAAAGGGUUCU
rnacentral:lncRNA from 1 species